UACGUAGGGGGCAAGCGUUGUCCGGAAUCAUUGGGCGUAAAGCGCGUGUAGGCGGUCCGGUAAGUCGGCUGUGAAAGUCCAGGGCUCAACCCUGGGAUGCCGGUCGAUACUGCCGGACUAGAGUUCGGAAGAGGCGAGUGGAAUUCCCGGUGUAGCGGUGAAUGCGCAGAUAUCGGAGGAACACCAAUGGCGAAGGCAGCUCGCUGGGACGUUACUGACGCUGAGACGCGAAAGCGUGGGGAGCAAACAGG
rnacentral:rRNA from 1 species